CUGACACAGGGAGGUAGUGACAAGAAAUAACAAUACAGGGCUACUACAAGUCUUGUAAUUGGAAUGAGUACAAUUUAAAUCCCUUAACGAGGAUCAAUUGGAGGGCAAGUCUGGUGCCAGCAGCCGCGGUAAUUCCAGCUCCAAUAGCGUAUAUUAAAGUUGUUGCAGUUAAAAAGCUCGUAGUCGGAUUUCAGGGCAGGGCAACCGGUCUGCCGAUGGGUAUGCACUGGUCGACGCGUCCUUCCUUCUGGAGACCGUGCCUACUCUUAACUGAGCGGGGACGGGAAACAGAUCGUUUACUUUGAAAAAUCAGAGUGUUUAAAGCAGGCCAAGAUUGCUCUUGCAUGGAUUAGCAUGGGAUAAUGAAAUAGGACUUUGGUGCUAUUUUGUUGGUUUCGAACACCGAAGUAAUGAUUAAUAGGGAUAGUCAGGGGCACUCGUAUUCCGUCGAGAGAGGUGAAAUUCUCAGACCAAUGGAAGACGAACUACCGCGAAAGCA
rnacentral:rRNA from 1 species